UGGGGAAUAUUGGACAAUGGGCGAAAGCCUGAUCCAGCCAUGCCGCGUGUGUGAAGAAGGUCUUCGGAUUGUAAAGCACUUUAAGUUGGGAGGAAGGGCAGUAAGCGAAUACCUUGCUGUUUUGACGUUACCGACAGAAUAAGCACCGGCUAACUCUGUGCCAGCAGCCACGGUAAUACAGAGGGUGCAAGCGUUAAUCGGAUUUACUGGGCGUAAAGCGUGCGUAGGCGGCUGAUUAAGUCGGAUGUGAAAUCCCUGAGCUUAACUUAGGAAUUGCAUUCGAUACUGGUCAGCUAGAGUAUGGGAGAGGAUGGUAGAAUUCCAGGUGUAGCGGUGAAAUGCGUAGAGAUCUGGAGGAAUACCGAUGGCGAAGGCAGCCAUCUGGCCUAAUACUGACGCUGAGGUACGAAAGCAUGGGGAGCAAACAGG
rnacentral:rRNA from 1 species